CCUACGGGAGGCAGCAGUGAGGAAUAUUGGUCAAUGGGCGCGAGCCUGAACCAGCCAAGUAGCGUGAAGGAUGACUGCCCUACGGGUUGUAAACUUCUUUUAUAAAGGAAUAAAGUGAGGCACGUGUGCCUGUUUGAAUGUACUUGAUGAAUAAGGAUCGGCUAACUCCGUGCCAGCAGCCGCGGUAAUACGGAGGAUCCGAGCGUUAUCCGGAUUUAUUGGGUUUAAAGGGAGCGUAGAUGGGUUGUUAAGUCCGUUGUGAAAGUUUGCGGCUCAACCGUAAAAUUGCAAUUGAUACUGGCAGUCUUGAGUACACUUGAGGUAGGCGGAAUUCGUGUUGUAGCGGUGAAAUGCUUAGAUAUCACGCAGAACUCCGAUUGCGAAGGCAGCUUACUAACCUGCCACUGACAUUGAUGCUCGAAAGUGUGGGUAUCAAACAGGAUUAGAUACCCCUGUAGUC
rnacentral:rRNA from 1 species